rnacentral:rRNA from 1 species
ACGCUGGCGGCGUGCCUAAUACAUGCAAGUCGAGCGAACAGACGAGGAGCUUGCUCCUCUGCCGUUAGCGGCGGACGGGUGAGUAACACGUGGAUAACCUACCUAUAAGACUGGGAUAACUUCGGGAAACCGGAGCUAAUACCGGAUAAUAUAUUGAACCGCAUGGUUCAAUAGUGAAAGACGGUUUUGCUGUCACUUAUAGAUGGAUCCGCGCCGCAUUAGCUAGUUGGUAAGGUAACGGCUUACCAAGGCAACGAUGCGUAGCCGACCUGAGAGGGUGAUCGGCCACACUGGAACUGAGACACGGUCCAGACUCCUACGGGAGGCAGCAGUAGGGAAUCUUCCGCAAUGGGCGAAAGCUUGACGGAGCAACGCCGCGUGAGUGAUGAAGGUCUUCGGAUCGUAAAACUCUGUUAUUAGGGAAGAACAAAUGUGUAAGUAACUAUGCACGUCUUGACGGUACCUAAUCAGAAAGCCACGGCUAACUACGUG